AUUGAACGCUGGCGGCGUGCUUUACACAUGCAAGUCGAACGAGUGGCGAACGGGUGAGUAACGCAUCGGAACGUACCGAGUAAUGGGGGAUAACUGGCCGAAAGGACAGCUAAUACCGCAUAUUAUUCGAGCGGCCGAUGUCUGAUUAGCUGGUUGGCGGGGUAAAGGCCCACCAAGGCGACGAUCAGUAGCGGGUCUGAGAGGAUGAUCGGCCAAACUGGGACGGAGAAACGGCCCAGACUCCUACGGGAGGCAGCAGUGGGGAAUUUUGGACAAUGGGCGCAAGCCUGAGGAAGCCAGGCGGGGGGUCUGAAGAAGGCUUUCGGGUUGUAAAGGACGUUUGUCAGGGAAGCGGUACCUGAAGAAUAAGCACCGGCUAACUACGUGCCAGCAGCCGCGGUAAUUC
rnacentral:rRNA from 1 species